rnacentral:piRNA from 1 species
UGCUCCUUUGACUGCAGCAAAAGCAUGCCUU